rnacentral:tRNA from 1 species
GGGGGCGUAGCUCAGUUGGUCAGAGCAGGCGACUCAUAAUCGCCCGGUCGCUGGUUCGAGUCCAGCCGCCCCCA